CUCUCUGUGACGAUGUCGCCAGAAGCACUGCGUUUAUUCCUCGCAGCUGCAGCUGUUCUAACGGGACUUUGUCGAGGAGAUUCUGUCUCACAGACACCGGCUUCGAUCGCAGUGAAUGAGGGGAACAGUGUCCAGUUGUUCUGUAAUUACACUACAACAAGCAGCACUCCGGACCUUUACUGGUACCGUCAACAUUCCAGUGGUUCCAUGGAGUUUCUGCUAAUGAGGAACAAAUUUGACGGGAACGCAGAGAAGUUUCACGGAGACCGGUUAUCCUCAGAGCUCGAUCAUGUGAAUCACACCAUCAAGCUGAAAGUGGUGAAAACAGAACUGGCAGACUCUGCAAUGUAUUACUGCGCACUGCGCCCCACUGAGACUCAGAACUGGGCCGAUCCUGUACAAAAACUUGUCAGGGAGUCACUGAACAUGACAGUGUGUCAGGCAAACGGCGAGGUGAGGAGAGGAUCUGAAAGGGUUCGCAAAUUCACGGUGAUGUCUGAUAUUUUUGAUUUGAAUGCAAAACUUUAUUCGUUAUAAAUGUAUUAUUGGAAUAAGCUGAAACUGUCAGUUUUAGUGAAUGAAAAGUGAACUCAUGAUUUCAUGUCUUUUGACAUGUAACAAAGUGUUUUGCGUUUACUACUAUGAGCGAUGUAGAAAAUACAGCAGCACGUUUCCUCCAACAAAAUCCAAACAUUUUGGUGAUGGAAACAAUGAUAGGUCACGUGAUUCUGAUAGGUCACGUGAUUCUGAUCGGUCAGUGCGUCGCUGGAGCAACCUGAAUAGCAUCAAACGUGUUGCGGGAUAUUAAGCACUGCUCCUGCAGCUGCAUGUUAGUGGUUUCAGAAUAGCGAAGGACAGAUUCGUUGGUAGAGGAUAAUGCAGGUUUACUUUCAAAUACCAACCAGAAAGUGGGAUGUAGCUCCGAUCUGAACAAAACUGAACACGUAAACACACUCAAUAACGGCUGCUUAAUCAAAGUCACCAGUGAAAGUCCCAGUCGCAUGUGGUUUCUGCUUGCUCGGCUGUCCAUAGAUCAACAUUCCUCACCCCGCACCUAAAUUUCUUAUAUUUUACAUCUGAUAAAGACAGUUGUAUAAGGGCUAGAGGAGUCCUCUCAUCCCUCUAGCGACAUUUAAGAGAAACCGAAUACGACUGUGACCACAAAUUGGAUUAGAGAAGGUGAUCUUGAAAGGAUACCCACAGUGCUGUUAGCAAGGGAGUUCCACAAUUUUGAUUCAGUGACACUGAAAGAAUAUAUUCAAGGUGAGAUGGUGAUUUACUUUGAGAGAAAGUUACAUGCAGUAUUAUAAUCCCGAUAUUUGGAAUUUUCAAAUCGAUUUAGUUUAUUCUUGGAUGUAUAACUCUUUUAGGAUUCUGCUCAUCUAAUGGUCUGGACACUUAUCAGUGACUGCAGGUGAGGUUUCCCUUGUGGGUCAGUAAACAAAUGGACUGACACUGGUACAAAAACGGGGGUUUCUGGAAAAACUCGGCAGGUCUGGUGGCAUCUGUGCAGAGAAAUCAAAGUUUACAUUUUGUGUCCCGUGCCCCAUCCUCAGAAUUGAAACAACAUUUUCAAUACAGUCCCUGUUGGAAGACAUUACUUGGCUGGUGGUGAGAGGAGCACUACCAUGCAUCCAUGGUCCACCUGUAUCACCGGACACUGCCCUUGAACCAGCUGCUGAGGGGUUGAGACUGUCGCACACCUCCUGCUGAAAUUAGCUCUUGCCAAGUAAGUAAAAUACAAUGCUCUUUGUUGAGGUUCGUCCUGGGCUGCUCCAUGUAGUCUACAGUCCGUUCCCUAGGAAACACACCUUUACAAGCAUCAACUACAUCUUGAGGACCAUUGAAAAAAAACAUUGAAAGACACUCUUUGAUCUGCCCGAGCCUUGUUCGUCAUCCAGAACAAGGAGCUAACUCCAAUCGAGUGUUUGGAUUGGUGGUGCUGGAAGAGCACAGCAGUUCAGGCAGCAUCCUCGGUGCUGCUCCUCAGAUGCUGCCUGAACUGCUGCGUUCUUCCAGCACCACCAAUCCAAAAUAUUUUGGAUGCUGCCUAGACUGCUGUGUUCUUCCAGCACCACCAAUCCAAAAUCUGGUUUCCAGCAUCUGCAGUCAUUGUUUUUACCUAUCCAAUCGAGUUUUGCAGGUUGACAUAUUCCAAUGACCAGGAAUACUUGCUGAGGUCCACGUCAAAGUUUAGGGCAGCUACUGCCAAGACACAGUGGGGAAAAACCACCGUCUGAGGCCUUCCUGUUGAAGGUAAAUGGGGGUCAAUUCAAAUAUUGGACUCUCUUAGUGUGUCAAAAAUAUAUAAAUAAUAGUAAUCUUUGUGCAAGAGAGGUUUUUGGUUUUGUGUAUGAUCAAACUCGAAGGUUGUUUGUGUUUACUUGAUA